rnacentral:rRNA from 1 species
GACGAACGCUGGCGGCGCGCUUAACACAUGCAAGUCGAGCGAAGCGGCGGACGGGUGAGUAACACGUGAGUAACCUGCCUUAGCCAUUGGGAUAGCCUCGGGACACCGGGAUUAAUACCAAAUGGUCUAAGAUGGACUCGCGUACCAUUAGCUAGUUGGUGAGGUAACGGCCCGCCAAGGCGACGAUGGGUAGCCGGCCUGGGAGGGUGAACGGCCACAUUGGAACAGAGAAACGUGCCAAACUCGCCGGGAGGCAGCAGGGGGGAAUAUUGCACAAUGAAGGGAACUCUGAGGCAGCGACGCCGCGUGAACGAAGAAGGCUGUCGAGUCGUAAAGGUCUUUUAUAUGGGAAGCGGUACCAUAAGAAAAAGCCCCGGCUAACUACGUGCCAGCCGCCGCGGUAAUAC